GACGAACGCUGGCGGCGUGCUUAACACAUGCAAGUCGAACGGUGAAGCGCCUUCCUUUUUGGUGGGUGUGGAUGAGUGGCGAACGGGUGAGUAACACGUGAGUAACCUGCCCCCUUCUUCUGGAUAACCGCAUGAAAGUGUGGCUAAUACGGGAUAUUCUGGGUCUGUCGCAUGAUGGGUCUGGGAAAGAUAUUGUUUCGGUGGGGGAUGGGCUCGCGGCCUAUCAGCUUGUUGGUGGGGUGAUGGCCUACCAAGGCGGUGACGGGUAGCCGGCCUGGGAGGGUGGACGGUCACACUGGGACUGAGACACGGCCGAGACUCCUACGGGAGGCAGCAGUGGGGAAUAUUGCACAAUGGGCGCAAGCCUGAUGCAGCGACGCCGCGUGAGGGAUGGAGGCCUUCGGGUUGUGAACCUCUUUCGCCAGUGAAGCAGGCCUGCCUCGUUUGUGGGUGGGUUGACGGUAGCUGGAUAAGAAGCGCCGGCUAACUACGCG
rnacentral:rRNA from 1 species